CCGGCGCACGGGUGAGUAACACGUAUCCAACCUGCCGUCUACUCUUGGACAGCCUUCUGAAAGGAAGAUUAAUCCAGGAUGGGAUCAUGAGUUCACAUGUCCGCAUGAUUAAAGGUAUUUUCCGGUAGACGAUGGGGAUGCGUUCCAUUAGAUAGUAGGCGGGGUAACGGCCCACCUAGUCAACGAUGGAUAGGGGUUCUGAGAGGAAGGUCCCCCACAUUGGAACUGAGACACGGUCCAA
rnacentral:rRNA from 1 species